rnacentral:rRNA from 1 species
GUGGCGCACGGGUGAGUAACACGUGAAUGACAUGCCCUUCAGAGGGGGAUAGCCCAGGGAAACUUGGAUUAAUACCCCAUGGUCUCGCAAGAGUAAAGGUGGCGCAAGCUGCCGCUGAGGGAUUGGUUCGCGCCCUAUCAGCUAGUUGGUGAGGUAACGGCUCACCAAGGCGAUGACGGGUACUUGGUCUGAGAGGACGAUCAGGCACACUGGAACUGAGACACGGUCCAGACACCUACGGGUGGCAGCAGUCGAGAAUAAUUCACAAUGGGGGCAACCCUGAUGGUGCAACGCCGCGCGGAGGAUGAAGGUCUUCGGAUUGUAAACUCCUGUCAUCCGGGAGAAAGACCUGGCUGUGAGUAGCAGACAGGGUUGAUAGUACCGGAAGAGGAAGGGACGGCUAACUUCGUGCCAGCAGCCGCGGUAAUACGAAGGUCCCGAGCGUUGUUCGGAAUCACUGGGCGUAAAGGGAGCGUAGGCGGUUUGGUAAGUCAGAUGUGAAAUCCCGGGGCUCAACCCCGGAACUGCAUCCGAUACUGCCAGACUUGAGCAAUGGAGAGGUAGCUGGAAUUCUCGGUGUAGCAGUGAAAUGCGUGGAUAUCGAGAGGAACACUUGUGGCGAAGGCGGGCUACCGGACAUUUGCCGACGCUGAGGCUCGAAGGCCGGGGGAGCGAAAGGGAUUAGAUACCCCUGUAGUCCCG